AGAGUUAGCCGGUGCUUCUUCUGUGAGUGAUGUCCUUCCUGCCGGCUAUUAACCCGCAGGCCUUCUUCCUCACUGAAAGUGCUUUACAACCCGAAGGCCUUCUUCACACACGCGGCAUGGCUGGAUCAGGGUUGCCCCCAUUGUCCAAUAUUCCCCACUGCUGCCUCCCGUAGGAGUCUGGGCCGUGUCUCAGUCCCAGUGUGGCUGAUCAUCCUCUCAGACCAGCUACGGAUCGUCGCCUUGGUGAGCCGUUACCUCACCAACCAGCUAAUCCGACAUAGGCUCAUCCGAUAGCGCGAGGCCCGAAGGUCCCCCGCUUUCCCCCGUAGGGCGUAUGCGGUAUUAGCCUGGGUUUCCCCAGGUUAUCCCCCACUACCGGGCAGAUUCCUAUGCAUUACUCACCCGUCCGCCGCUCGCCACCAGGGAGCAAGCUCCCCGUGCUGCCGCUCGACUUGCAUGUGUAGCNCGCCGCCACGCGUCAUCUGAACCAACGAUACAACUUACUCGA
rnacentral:rRNA from 1 species